rnacentral:rRNA from 1 species
GACGAACGCUGACGGCGUGCUUAACACAUGCAAGUCGAAGGUAGUGGCGAACGGGCGAGUAACACGUGAUUAACCUGCCCUUUUCUUUGGGAUAAGCCUGGGAAACGGGUUCUAAUACUGGAUGGAUUGGUUUGGGCUGGCGGCUUCUCAGCUUGUUGGUGGGGUGAUGGCUUACCAAGGCUGUGACGGGUAGUCGUCAUGAUAGGGUGGUCGAUCACACGGGGACUGAGAUACGGCCCAGUCUCCUCCGGGAGGCAGCAGUGGGUGAUAUUGCACAAUGGACGAAAGUCUGAUGCAGCGACGUCGUGUGGGGGAUGAAGGCCUUCUGGUUGUAAACGCCUUUGGCCCGCGGAAUGGUAGGGGGUAAAGAAGCGCCGGCUACCUACGUGACAGCAGCCGCGGUAAUUC